AACGUAGUGUCCUCGGUGCUUGUCAAAAAUGCAAAUCCCCAAUCUCCAGGCCAGUUUCACUAAAUUAGAAACCCUGGGGGUGGGCUCAGCCUGGGCAUGCUCCCUAAGUGCCCAGGUGAGUGAGCCGAUCAGGUUCCACACAGCUAGAAAUGGUUAAAGGCUCUCCAAUGGCCUCUCAAUUGAUUAGUUUCCUUCAGCCUAAUUUGCAGCCAUCUUAGCCAAGCCUUCAUAUUUCUUCCCUUUUCAACCUGGUCCCUCAUUUUCCAACUGGAGAAGUCUCUUCUCAAUCGCCUAGGCAACGGAGACAAGAGCUAGGACGCUGUCGCACGGCCUAGCUUCUGUCAGAGAAGUGGAAGAGCUUUCUUGUAUGCCUUACUAUGAAGAAAUGGCGAAUGGGAGAAAGUAGGUGAUAACUGCACAACUACGUAGUGACAGAUUUGGGACUGAAGCCAAGUUUCCUGCUUCAUUAUUCCAGUGUGCUUUCUUCUGCAUUGAGUGUACCAGAAGCACAAGAAAGAUGAUCAGAGAAUUAAGAAAAAGAAGAAAAUACCGAAUGAGAUUAAGAAGGAAAAUUUGGGACAAAACCUGGAGGUGUCCUUCACACCAACACCCCCCUCAUCCAAUGUAUCACAGUGGACUAUAUAUCUAUUUAACCCCAAAAGGUGUCUUGAACUGAUCGAUUUUCUCCCACGCUUUUACUGCCUUCUUGCUUUAGUCUAAUCCGUCAUCAUCUCUCCAUGUAUAUCUGGAAGAACUUCCUAAUUGCUCUCCCUCCUUUUACUUUUAUCCCCCUGCAAUCCAUUCCGCACACCAGUAAUUGCAGUGAUUUAUUUAAAAUGCAAAUAGGAUCAUGUAGUUUCCUUACUUAUCAUCUUUCAAGGGCUCCUUACUGCACUUAGGAUAAAAUAUAGACCCAUAACCUUGCCUUUGGGGCUCUGCAGAUUGCUGCCCCUGCCUCUACCGCCAGCCUCAUCUUGCACCAUCUCUUGUUCCUCACAGCCAGCAGGCACUACUGCCCUCCUUUCAACCGCAAGCACAGUAGCACUGAGCUCUUCACUGAAUCAGGACUGCUACUCACGCUGUUAUUCUGCCUGGAAUGCUUUUUACUCAACUUGUCCUUCAGGUUUAUUAUGCUGAUGUACAUACCUUGGCGGCUGAAUGUCUGGGGGCCAGAUGAUUGAAAGAGCACAAUAUGAGAACUAAGAUUCUAGAGGCUGGAAUGUGCAUGUCAUUUUGAUUGUAUGUGAUGUAUACCUGUACAUAUGGGAUGGCAUCCCCUUGAGUUUUAGAACAGUACUGAUUUCAUGUCACUUCAUUUUUUUAAAGAAAGUUAGUUCUCUAAAUGCAAAAUCACCUGUGAUUUAAAUUUCCUGCUUUCUGAACUCAUUCAGUAUAUAACAAUUCACAUAUCAGUUUUUUAAAAAGGUAAAAAAGCUCUUAUCCUACCCUGGGCUUCCAUUUUUGUUUCAGAACGUGGACAUGUUGUUUGUGCCAACAAAAGGGAAUUCAAGGAGCCAGAUUAGAAAGGUCAUUAAGAACAGACUAGAGCAAGAAGCUCAGUUUCCAGCCCUCCACUGGAGUGAGGUCUAGUCUCCAGACAGAGAGAGAGAGAAGAAAGAAGGAGGACGAGGGAGAAGGAGUGGGCAUAACAGGCAAGUUCACUAGCAGAAAUAAUGUGCCUUGGAGGAGAGCAGCCUUCGAAUGUCUGAUAAGAGGUGACCGCUUAUUAGCUGUUUGAUCCUAGACAUGUCAGUUAAUCUUUCUGGAUCUCAGUUCCUUUUCCUUGUAGAUGAAAGGACGAAACCCCAUUAGAAAUACUUGCCUGCUCUAUGAUCCUUUGAUUCUUGUUUUCUCUAUAAUGGUGGAAGCACGAGAAAGAGUAUAUCUGAGCAAAAGGGAUAGGAAAAAGAUGAUUAAUUGUGACAGAAUAGAAAGACGAAGAAGAAAGGCAUGGAUGGUAGCUAUGAAGGGAAAGUAUAUGAGAAAAUAAAGAUUCAGAUCUUUUUCCUUGCCCAGCUUAUUUAUUUAACAGAUAUUUAUUAGUACUUAACGUAGCAUUGACGAUGUGCCAGCUAUUGUUCUAAGGGCUUUACAAAAGUGAACUCAUUUGAUACUUGGGAGGUAAGUACUGCUGUUAGAUCUUAUAGCUGAGGAAACUGAGGCACUGAGAGGUCAAGAAACCUAACCCAAGUCAUAUAACUAGUAAGGGCCACGUCACACCCAGGCAGUCUGGCUCCAGGGUCCAGGCUGUUAUAAUGCUUAUUUUCCUGUUAGAAUUUACCAUGCAUUUUCCUCAAUGAAAAUCUCUACAUCAAAGACGAAAACUUAUUGAACUGUAACAAAAAUAAUAAAUCACUCCAGACGUAUUUAGGCUAACACAUACCCUAUUUGUUUCUGUGUAAUUACACUUUCUCAAGAGCCUGCCACAUUUGGCAUCACUGUUUUCUUACGAACUCUUCAAGCAAGACUAAUGCAAAAUGGAGAGGAUUGUUCUUUGUUCAGCUGCAAACCAGGUGGCACAAAGCACAGAGAAGAAAGCCAGGCUCCGGAGAACGUGUGAAGGGAACCAACCGACAAAUGAAAACUCACGCAGAGCUUGCCUUUAAUCAGGAAACAUUUUCAUUCAAACGCUUGCAAACUUUAAAAAUUUUUAAGUUUAUAUUCUAUAAUCUUUCUACCACUCUAUUGGAAAAAAAAGCUCCAAAAAGGAAGAUUAUUAAAAUAAAACAAAAUAGUUUGGUUUUGUCAUUUGGAAACAUUUCAAGCUCAAGAUCUAU
rnacentral:lncRNA from 1 species